rnacentral:rRNA from 1 species
UACAGAGGUCUCAAGCGUUGUUCGGAUUCAUUGGGCGUAAAGGGUGCGUAGGCGGUUCGUCGCGUCGGCUGUGAAAACCUGAGGCUCAACCUCAGGCCUGCAGUCGAUACGGGCGGACUUGAGUACUGCAGGGGAGACUGGAAUUCCUGGUGUAGCGGUGAAAUGCGCAGAUAUCAGGAGGAACACCGACGGCGAAGGCAGCACUCUGGGCCGGUACUGACGCUGAGGAGCGAAAGCAUGGGGAGCGAACAGG